rnacentral:rRNA from 1 species
GAUUAAGUGUCGUAAGGGCAUUUGGUGGAUGCCUUGGCAUGCACAGGCGAUGAAGGACGUGAUACGCUGCGAAAAGCCGUGGGGAGCUGCGAAUGAGCUUUGAUCCAUGGAUCUCCGAAUGGGGCAACCCACCUUAAAUGCUUGGAAAAUCAUUCUGGUUGUCGGGUCUUCGACCCGACGUUACGGCGAACGAUCGCCGACGGCCUCUGGCCUGUAUGGGAACUUCCCGAUACAGCGCAGAGCGCGUCGCCGGUCGUCCGGCGCGCCCACGCAGCGCUGCACGAAGUGCAGAACAAGCGUGAGUGAAAACCCGAAUGGUUUCCAAGCAUUGUGAUAAGGUAUCUGCACCUGAAUACAUAGGGUGUAAGAAGCGAACGCAGGGAACUGAAACAUCUAAGUACCUGCAGGAAAGGACAUCAACCGAGACUCCGCAAGUAGUGGCGAGCGAACGCGGACCAGGNAUAAGGUAUCUGCACCUGAAUACAUAGGGUGUAAGAAGCGAACGCAGGGAACUGAAACAUCUAAGUACCUGCAGGAAAGGACAUCAACCGAGACUCCGCAAGUAGUGGCGAGCGAACGCGGACCAGGCCAGUGGCAAUUGUGAUUAAAGUGGAACGCUCUGGAAAGUGCGGCCGUAGUGGGUGACAGCCCCGUACGCGUAGAUAUCACGAUUGUCCUAGAGUAGGGCGGGACACGAGAAAUCCUGUCUGAACAUGGGGAGACCACUCUCCAAGCCUAAGUACUCGUGCAUGACCGAUAGCGAACAAGUACCGUGAGGGAAAGGUGAAAAGCACCCCGACAAGGGGAGUGAAAUAGAACCUGAAACCGGAUGCCUACAAACAGUCGGAGCCCGCAAGGGUGACGGCGUACCUUUUGUAUAAUGGGUCAACGACUUAGUGUAACAAGCAAGCUUAAGCCGGUAGGUGUAGGCGCAGCGAAAGCGAGUCUGAACAGGGCGAUAUAGUUUGUUGCAUUAGACCCGAAACCGAGUGAUCUAGCCAUGAGCAGGUUGAAGGUUGGGUAACACCAACUGGAGGACCGAACCCGCAUCUGUUGCAAUAGAUUGGGAUGACUUGUGGCUAGGGGUGAAAGGCCAAUCAAACUCGGAAAUAGCUGGUUCUCCGCGAAAUCUAUUUAGGUAGAGCGUCGAGCGAAUACCCCCGGGGGUAGAGCACUGGAUGGGCUAUGGGGACUCACCGUCUUACUGAUCCUAACCAAACUCCGAAUACCGGGGAGUACUACUCGGCAGACACACGGCGGGUGCUAACGUCCGUCGUGAAAAGGGCAACAACCCUAACCUCCAGCUAAGGUCCCCAAGUCAUGGCUAAGUGGGAAAGGAUGUGAGGAUCCCAAAACAACCAGGAUGUUGGCUUAGAAGCAGCCAUCAUUUAAAGAAAGCGUAACAGCUCACUGGUCUAAAUAAGGGUCUUUGCGCCGAAAAUGUAACGGGGCUGAAGCCAUGCACCGAAGCUGAGGAUUUGCAGCAAUGCAAGUGGUAGCGGAGCGUUCCGUAAGCUGAUGAAGGGAGACCCGUGAGGGCUCCUGGAGGUAUCGGAAGUGCGAAUGUUGACAUGAGUAACGAUAAAGAGGGUGAGAGACCCUCUCGCCGAAAGACCAAGGGUUCCUGCUUAAAGUUAAUCUGAGCAGGGUUAGCCGGCCCCUAAGACGAGGCGGACACGCGUAGUCGAUGGGAACCACGUUAAUAUUCGUGGGCCUGGUGGUAGUGACGGAUUGCACAAGUUGUUCUGGUUUAUUGGAUUAUCAGGGCAGCGGAGCGGUUCCAGGAAAUAGCUCCACCGUAUAGACCGUACCCGAAACCGACACAGGUGGUCAGGUAGAGUAUACCAAGGCGCUUGAGAGAACUAUGUUGAAGGAACUCGGCAAAUUGCACGCGUAACUUCGGAAGAAGCGUGACCCCAUUUUAGGCAACUAUGAUGGGGUGGCACAGACCAGGGGGUAGCGACUGUUUAUCAAAAACACAGGGCUCUGCGAAGUCGCAAGACGACGUAUAGGGUCUGACGCCUGCCCGGUGCUGGAAGGUUAAGAGGAGAGGUGCAAGCUUUGAAUCGAAGCCCCAGUAAACGGCGGCCGUAACUAUAACGGUCCUAAGGUAGCGAAAUUCCUUGUCGGGUAAGUUCCGACCUGCACGAAUGGCGUAACGACUUCCCCGCUGUCUCCAACAUAGACUCAGUGAAAUUGAAUUCCCCGUGAAGAUGCGGGGUUCCUGCGGUCAGACGGAAAGACCCCGUGCACCUUUACUAUAGCUUUACACUGGCAUUCGUGUCGGCAUGUGUAGGAUAGGUGGUAGGCUUUGAAGCGGGGACGCCAGUUUCCGUGGAGCCAUCCUUGAAAUACCACCCUUAUCGUCAUGGAUGUCUAACCGCGGCCCGUCAUCCGGGUCCGGGACAGUGUAUGGUGGGUAGUUUGACUGGGGCGGUCGCCUCCGAAAGAGUAACGGAGGCGCGCGAUGGUGGGCUCAGACCGGUCGGAAAUCGGUCGUCGAGUGCAAUGGCAUAAGCCCGCCUGACUGCGAGACUGACAAGUCGAGCAGAGACGAAAGUCGGUCAUAGUGAUCCGGUGGUCCCGCGUGGAAGGGCCAUCGCUCAACGGAUAAAAGGUACGCCGGGGAUAACAGGCUGAUGACCCCCAAGAGUCCAUAUCGACGGGGUUGUUUGGCACCUCGAUGUCGGCUCAUCGCAUCCUGGGGCUGGAGCAGGUCCCAAGGGUUUGGCUGUUCGCCAAUUAAAGCGGUACGUGAGCUGGGUUCAGAACGUCGUGAGACAGUUCGGUCCCUAUCUGCCGUGGGUGUAGGAAUAUUGACAGGAUCUGUCCCUAGUACGAGAGGACCGGGAUGGACAUAUCUCUGGUGGACCUGUUGUCCUGCCAAGGGCAUAGCAGGGUAGCUAUAUAUGGACGGGAUAACCGCUGAAGGCAUCUAAGCGGGAAACCCACCUGAAAACGAGUGUUCCCUAUCAGAGCCGUGGAAGACGACCACGUUGAUAGGCCGGGUGUGGAAGUGCGGCAACGCAUGAAGCUUACCGGUACUAAUAGCUCGAUCGGCUUGAUCGUUCUCAUU